rnacentral:piRNA from 1 species
UGAUAGACUGUCUUGAAUUUCGUUAGAAAGU